GAUCUGACAUGACUAGAUAGGUGUAAGCAAGGUUUCCACUGCAAUGCUUUCACCAAUUAUUUAAUGUCAGGUCAGUGAUUACUUCAAGGAAGGGAUGACAGAUUGCAUUUUCUAAGUCUUCCAACAGGGCCUAUGUGUAUAAUCCUCUGAGCUCUCCCUUGAUGAGUACAGAAGGCUGGAUGUCUCAUGUUGGUUCACGUUGUGUUUCUAUGAUGAGAGAAAGCAAUACGUGUGUGGCGCAAUCACAGUGUAAUAUGAUAGCUGACUAACACGUUAGCCAUCGCUUGGUUGAUAGGGCAGUCGCCACAGCGUCUGUGCUCAGGCACGUACACACACAUGCAUUUGAGUGCACCACACACGCACACACACCUCGCCCCCGGUGAUAUUGAGAAGCCAUGUCGCGGGCUGUUCACAUGUUUUGAUGAGGAGGGUCCGUGUCACGACUGGUUCACGUGUUGUUUUGAUCCCAACUGUCGGGGCCCAGUGAGCUAGCACAAGCACAGCUGGCCAGGGUGGCUGAGAGUGGGUACACAGGGAGUUGAAGGACAUGGAUCCCUGCCAAUGCAUUUUAUACAUAGCACACAUAGUACAGCUGAGAAUUAGGGGUAGGGGGCCUUUGCUCCACCACCACAGCCCAGCUCCUCCAUCUGCCUGCCUAGAGCUGCCUAGGGCUGCCUGUCUCUGGCUUCGCCUCCACAUAGCCAGCUCUCUGACAGCCCUCUAUCAAGCUCCUCCCCUCCCUAUCCCCCUGCUACCACUUCUCUCUGCUUUGCUUUGCUUUGCUUUCCUCUUUUUCUUUAAUGACAGGAACACAGAGUGUGAAAGCUCACUGUAUUUCUUAGGGAUGUCAAAGCAAUGGGAGAUCACUAAGCUUUUACAAUCGUUGAGGGGAAGACAUAUUUUCUCCCGGUGUGUAAUUUAGUUCCUGUCCAGAAAGGAGAGGAAAGAACCCAGAAGAGGUCACAAGUCUCACUGCGGUAAUAAUUAUUUGAGGAAAGCAACACUGAAGCAUACAAGAGCGCAAAAGCUGUUCCGGAAAAGCUGUGUGAUCACGCUCUCUGUAGCCGAUUUGAGUAAGACCUUUAAAUCGGUCAACAUUCACAAGGCCAUAGGGCGAGACGGAUUACCAGGACGUGUACUCCGAGCAUGCGCUGACCAACGAACGGGUACAUGGUGGAACUCUGAGGGAGAGGAGAGAUCUGGGAUGGGCCCUCUCCAAAGAUACCUGUCUACUCCUUCUGAUUCCUCUUGGCUCCUGGGGACGUCUCAGCCUCCAGCAUGUCUCUCCCAGGAAGCCAUAACUCUCUUUUUCAGGAAGUGAGCUGUGCAUGGAGUGCUCUCUGCAUCUGUCUGGGAGAGAAAAAGGGGAACAAGAGGUCAGACAGGCCUGGGACCACUUCUAACAUGCAUUAUGGAUGACGGCUAGCAUGUGCUUGAAUAUUUACAUUUGUCUAAAGGUGAUGCAAAUACUAAGUUGACUGAGAGAGUGCUAUGUUAGUCUGACAACAAAGGUUCCCUCACAAACAGUUAGGUAUUGUGCCAAUCAUGAACAAUAAAAAAAAAAACAUGAUUGGCACACCUUAGUUAAUCAUUUGCAUGGAGGCAUUGAUUUAAUCAAGAACCAAAAUGAUGUAAUUGUAAAGUGUAUUCAUACUAUGACUUACAAACACCAGGAUGCUUUAUCCUUCACUGUACUAUUAAAGCGUUCUGCUUUUUAACCAGA